rnacentral:lncRNA from 1 species
AGGUGCUGACUGGAUUGGACGUCUGAUGCCGUGGUUAGUGUCUUUCAUGCUCACGGGUAACAGACUCUGAACCCGCUCCUUCCUGCUGAGCAGUUCUGAUGCUGGGCAGUCUGGUGGGAAGGAACACAAAGCAGAUGCUUAGCCAAUCAGGACGCUGCACUCAUUUGCCCACAGUAAGGAGUGGGCUGGAGGUACACUGUAGCUGUCUUCAGACGCACCAGAAGAAGGCAUCAGAUCUCAUUACAGAUAGUUGUGAGCCACCAUGUGGUUGCUGGGAUUUGAACUCAGGACCUCUGGAAGAGCAGUC